UUGUAGCAAGAAUAGUAGUGAAAAUCCUUUGCUGGUGCUUAGCAACAGAAAAGAUUGCAGCGAAUAUCCUGACAGCAA
rnacentral:sRNA from 1 species